rnacentral:rRNA from 1 species
GUCUCUUUGAGUGAAGAUAAUAAAGAGUUGGGCCUGCUCGGUGAAUAAAUUUUAACAGCUGCGGUUUAAUAUCUGUACUAAGGUAGCAUAAUAAUUUGUCUUAUAAAUUGAGACUAGAAUGAAUGGUUUGACGAAAAUUAUACUGUCUCUAUUAUAUUUUUUUGAAAUUAAUUUUUAAAGUGAAAAAGCUUAAAUUUUUUAAAGGGACGAGAAGACCCUAUUGAGCUUAUAUUAAUAAGAUAAUAUAAUAAAUUUAUUAUUUUUUUUUAAUUUUGGUUGGGGUGAUCAAGGAAAUAAAAAUAAAUAACUUCCUUAAUUAUAUUUAUCUGUUAGGAUAAUAAACAAAAUGUAUUUCUUUUAUGAUAAGUUACCAUAGGGAUAACAGCGUAAUUUCUUUUGAGAGUUCUUAUUAAAAAAGAAGAUUGCGACCUCGAUGUUGGAUUAAAAUUAACCUUAAGGUGGAGAAGCUUUAUUUGGUAAAUCUGUUCGAUUUUUAAAAUUUU